rnacentral:lncRNA from 1 species
UUUUUAAUUCCCUAACCCACCUAACCCUAUGUAAUUUGCACAAAGGCUCCACCUUUGAAUUCCCUUCCUCUCAGAUCCUCUCGAACUUCUCUGUAACCCUAAUCGCCUUCCACUUGUUCCAAUCAUGUUUCCACCGGAAUCCAUGGUAUUCCUGGCCAGGGGCGGCCUGUACUCACUCUCUCUUACCAUUAAACCUAAUCUACUCAAAGUUUGGAGGCCUAUCCUCGAUGGUCCUCCUUCAUAUCCAUUUCAGAUCUGUAGAUCUAUGGUUUCUCCGGCCACGCUCCGGCAUAUUCAAGCAUUAGAGACCUGAUUCCUGACCUUCUCGACUCAAGAUCUAAGGUCUUCCAAGACUUUCUCACUUCUAGGGUUUCUUUGAAUCCUACGUUAUUCGAGGUUCUCUCUUUGUGUGUUUGCCUAGAUCUGUGCUGAAUCUAUGCUCUACUUGACAUUAUAUGCAUUUUUCCCGAAACUUUCUUUUCAAAAUUGUUUCUCUUCGAUCUUAGGGUUCUGAAAGUAUUUUUGAAAAAAUCUUUCUGAUUCUUCUUCUUCUUUGUUUUAUGUGUUUGCACAUACCCUGCUCGUGUGAAUUCUUUCAUUUUGCAUGUACUUCCUUCUACCUUUUCUUUUCAGCUAUGUACGUUAUUCCUUUUAAUCCUUGCAUAGUUUUCUUUGCUCUUUUACUAUGUGUGUUUACUGCUAAGUUAUUUGAUUUCGUUUACUAGACUUUGUUCAUGUUCAUACAUGUGUCAUCUACUUGUGUUCAUUGUAUUAUCUCCUUCUUAUGAACUUGUUUAGCUUCCAAGUUUUUGCAAAUAUGUUCUUCAUGAUUUUUCUUCCUUUAUCAUUCAAACAUGCUAUCAUAUUUAUUUUGUUGAGAAUCUAAAACAAGUGGAUUGCUUUCCCACUUCCAUGUCUGAUUCAAUUUUGAAACCCUAGGAUUUUGGGGUUUCCUUUGACGAUGUGGAUUUUGUGUUCGAGUUAAGGCUCCACUUUAGGACCACUAUCAGACUCACUAUGAGUCUGCAAAUUAAACAUGUAUCACUUUUCUUAUGAUUCUGAACUUCUCUUCGAUUAAACCCUG